rnacentral:rRNA from 1 species
GGCGAACGGGUGAGUAACACGUGGGCAAUCUGCCCUGCACUCUGGGACAAGCCCUGGAAACGGGGUCUAAUACCGGAUACAACCACUGACCGCAUGGUCGGGUGGUGGAAAGCUCCGGCGGUGCAGGAUGAGCCCGCGGCCUAUCAGCUUGUUGGUGAGGUAGUGGCUCACCAAGGCGACGACGGGUAGCCGGCCUGAGAGGGCGACCGGCCACACUGGGACUGAGACACGGCCCAGACUCCUACGGGAGGCAGCAGUGGGGAAUAUUGCACAAUGGGCGAAAGCCUGAUGCAGCGACGCCGCGUGAGGGAUGACGGCCUUCGGGUUGUAAACCUCUUUCAGCAGGGAAGAAGCGAAAGUGACGGUACCUGCAGAAGAAGCGCCGGCUAACUACGUGCCAGCAGCCGCGGUAAUACGUAGGGCGCAAGCGUUGUCCGGAAUUAUUGGGCGUAAAGAGCUCGUAGGCGGCUUGUCACGUCGGUU